CUCAUUGGAAGACUUUUUGGUUUCUCUAAUCAAGAAAACUAUGCAACAAUCUUGUCAACUAAUGAAACUACUUUUUAUAUAUAUAGCCAGACUGUAGUUUUAUCUAUGAUAGUGUCUGUGCUGCCCACACACGGGUACUUGAAAGCCAUGGAUUAAACUUUGAUGAAUAUUAUUUCUGGCUAGCACCGGGCACCUUGUUUGGCUUUGCUUUGCUUUUCAACAUUGGUUUUAUCUUGACCUUAAGUUUCUUGAAACAUAAGUUCAUCUUGUUAUCAUAUAUUAACUUAAGAAGAGUUAAUGCGACUCAAGUUUGUUCACCCAAUCGAAUUCAAAUGCAGCUCCCUGAAGAAAAGUUGGCCAAGAUUAAAGGAAGUUCAGAUUUCAAUGAUAGUAAACUUGUGGAAUAAAAGUCUAGGAAUUCUCCUACAAAAGGUGGGAUGGUUUUACCUUUUGAACCCUUAUCAGUAAUAUUUCAGUAUAUGAACUAUUAUGUUGACAUCCCUGCGGUAGUCCUCAUUAGCCAUUCUGGAUUCAAGAACAAUUAUGUCCAUUGCGUGAUACUUAAAGGCAUCAUAUCUCAUUCACUCUUUUUUGAGAAGAAGAAACUCCAAACUGCUUUCUCAUAUUUCUGUUGGAUUAAGGCCUGGUGUGCUUUCGGCAUUGAUGGGUGUUAGUGAAGCUGGAAAAUCCACUCUUCUAGAUUUUGGCCAAAGGAUGUUGUGUUGAUAACAAAGUUGUGCUUCUUGCUUUAAUCUCUUAUGAAUCAAUCAGUAAGGGUUUGUUAGUACUCUGAGCUCAUUCUUCUGGAAAACUGAACUGACGUAAUCCAAUUGUCAUGAAUUGAGUAAUCUGUGUUUGUUUGAUUGAUUUUCAAAGGCCUAGAUUUGAAGUGACCAGGAUUACCAACCUGGACACUCAGAAAAUGUUUAUAAACUAAUGAAAGAUCUGUUUUUCACUCAAUGAAACCUCUCAACAUUUUCAUCACACAAAUAAAGUUGAGUAAUUCAUUAAUAAAAUAGUUACGUGUUGGGCCUCCAAUCAUGCACAUAUACAAAAGGAAAGCAAAAUAAUUAAACACAAGAAGAUCUCAGGCACAUAAUCAGGAGAAAACAACAAACAAUGGAAGCUGAAAUCAAGGCAUUAGGGCAGAUAACAGACUA